ACGGGAUCACGCCACAAGGGAAGCAGGCAUGCUGUCAAAAAAGUGUACAUCUAAGAAGAGAACUUCAAAUACCUUGCUGAAUUAGCCAAGAAAAAGCAGCAGAAGGAAGUGAUGAUAUUGGACUAUUCUAAGAAAAGAGGACCAAGCAAAAACCUUUAUAAAUCUGAUGAAGAGAAUAUCAGUGAAGUACAAAAGCCUCCCUCUGAGCAAAUUAUGGAUGAAAAGGAGCUGAAACGUGCUAGGUAUGAUGUCUUCAAACUGGGGAUGAGUGGCUUUCACAAAGAAAAGAAAGAAGAACACAAGAGUUGCUCUUGCCAUAAAAUUAGGAGCUAAGCCACCCAAGAAUAAGGCUGUAAGUUACAAGGAUCUCCUUAAAAUGAAGAAGGAAGAAAAACAAAAGAAAUUGGAUGAGUUGGACACACAGAAGAGGUUGGGCUUGAAGGUAUGACAGAUGUACAGUUAACAUUGUAGCUGUUAUUAUUAAUGAAUGUUUAUUAGAUAACAUGUUUUUAGUAUAGGUCUUAGUAGUGUAAUAAUUUUUGACUAUGCAAUUCCAUUAAAUAUGUUCAAAAGAAGCAAAAAAAAUCCAGUUAAAUGGUAAUGAAAUCUGAAAAUUUUCCAGGUUCAAUUUUUACCUUUUUUUUUUAUUUGUUUUGAUACAUAUUUUUCCUAUUGAAGGGGAGUGCCAGAAAAGCCAUAAACAUAUUUAAAUUCUUUUGCCUACAUAUGCCCUUAAAGCAUAUGUACUCUUCAGCUUUUUUUCAUUGAAGACAUGAUGUGACAUAUAGCCCAUUUAGCAGUUUUUCUUUAACCUCAUUAUUCAUUUAUAUCAUUCUCUUUGCAUGCUCAAAUUACCACCUAGUUUCAUUAAUAUUUUUUCUGCACUUUGAUUUUGAAGAUCACUGAAUAAAAUACAACCACUCUAAUUUCACAUUUCUUUCAGUCACUUUUGGGCAUUUCUAUCAAUUUUACCUCAGUACGACUCCCUCACUUUCUAUUUUCUUUUAGUUGUGGAGCUGUGUUUUCUUUCAGUAGCUGAUCUUGGGUUUUUCUAUUAUUGUUAGCCCAAGAUUCUAAAGCAUUGUCCCUCCCCAGACUGAGGUUGAAAUACACAGAUUAACUUUAAUUUUCUGUUUGUCUACAUGUGGGAUUCCUCAUUUCAAUAUUGCUUAGGUAUAUGUAUAUAUCUGCAUAAUAGUUAUUAUAUAGCUAUAAGAUAUAGCUCUCAUAGCUAUAAGAUAUAGCUCUCAUAGCUAUAAGAUAUAGCUCUCAUAGCUAUAAGAUAUAGCUCUAAUAGCUGUUUAAUAUUCAGGGUGUUCAGAAACAAGAUGAAACCCAUAGAUUUUGAAUGUUUAUUAGUAAAUUACAAAAAUUAUUGAAUGUGUUGGCCAUGAAAGGUUUUCA